CCUACGGGAGGCAGCAGUGGUGAAUCUUGCACAAUGGGCGCAAGCCUGAUGCAGCAACGCCGCGUGUGGGAAGAAGGCUUUCGGGUUGUAAACUACUUUUGACGGGGAAGAAUAGAAUACGGUACCUGUCGACUAAGCCAGGGCUUACUACGUGACAGCAGCCGCGGUAAUACGGAGGCGGCAAGCGUUGUCCGGAUUUACUGGGUGUAAAGGGCGGGUAGUCGGGUUGACAAGUCAGAUGUGAAAUCCCGCGGCUCAACCGUGGAACUGCAUUUGAAACUGGUAAUCUUGAGUACUGGAGAGGCAGACGGAAUUCCUGGUGUAGCGGUGAAAUGCGUAGAUAUCAGGAGGAACACCAGUGGCGAAGGCGGUCUCCUGGACAACAACUGACGCUGAGGCGCGAAAGCGUGGGGAGCAAACAGGAUUAGAUACCCGAGUAGUC
rnacentral:rRNA from 1 species